rnacentral:rRNA from 1 species
UACGUAGGAUGCAAGCGUUAUCCGGAGUUACUGGGCGUAAAGGGCGUGUAGGCGGUCUGUUAAGUCUGGCGUGAAAGCUCUCGGCUAAACCGGGAGAGGUCGUUGGAUACUGGCAGACUAGAGGACGGUAGAGGCGUGUGGAAUUCCGGGUGUAGUGGUGAAAUGCGUAGAGAUCCGGAGGAACACCAGUGGCGAAGGCGACACGCUGGGCCGUACCUGACGCUAAAGCGCGACAGCAUGGGGAGCAAACGGG